GAUCCUGGCUCAGAUUGAACGCUGGCGGAAUGCUUUACACAUGCAAGUCGAACGGCAGCACGGGAGCUUGCUCCUGGUGGCGAGUGGCGAACGGGUGAGUAAUAUAUCGGAACGUAUCCAAUAAUGGGGGAUAACUAAUCGAAAGGUUGGCUAAUACCGCAUACGCCCUACGGGGGAAAGCAGGGGAUCGUAAGACCUUGCGUUAAUGGAGCGGCCGAUAUCUGAUUAGCUAGUUGGUGGGGUAAAGGCCCACCAAGGCUUUGAUCAGUAGCUGGUCUGAGAGGACGACCAGCCGCACUGGAACUGAGACACGGUCCAGACUCCUACGGGAGGCAGCAGUGGGGAAUUUUGGACAAUGGGGGCAACCCUGAUCCAGCCAUUCCGCGUGAGUGAAGAAGGCCUUCGGGUUGUAAAGCUCUUUCGCAAGGGAAGAAAACUUAUCCAUUAACACCGGGUGAGGCGACGGUACUUAUAAGAAGCACGGCUAACUACGUC
rnacentral:rRNA from 1 species